rnacentral:rRNA from 1 species
ACUAUGCCUAGCCAUAAACAUUGAUAGAAAAUACACCCCCUAUCCGCCCGGGUACUACGAGCACUAGCUUGAAACCCAAAGGACUUGGCGGUACUUUAGAUCCCCCUAGAGGAGCCUGUUCUAUAACCGAUGACCCCCGUUCAACCUCACCCUCCCUUGUUUUUCCCGCCUAUAUACCGCCGUCGUCAGCUUACCCCAUGAGGGACCAAUAGUAAGCAAAACUGGCACCGCCCAGAACGUCAGGUCGAGGUGUAGCGUAUGAGAGGGGAAGAAAUGGGCUACAUUUGCUAACGUAGCAAAUACGAACGAUGCACUGAAAACGUUCAUCCGAAGGAGGAUUUAGCAGUAAGUGGGAAAUAGAGUGUCCCGCUGAAAUCGGCUCUGAAGUGCGU